AGUAUAUAGUUCUAAAGGAAAGUGCUCAAGGAAAACUCGAUAUAAUUACCAAAGUAAUUUUGCCAACUGAUGAACAAAGUGAAAAAAGUAGGCGAAAAAACUUUUGUUGUGCUCACUCAUUCGUCAUUUUGGCAAAAUGUCAUCAAACAGGUAAAAAUUGGAAACAAUAAAUUUAAGUAAAGUUAUUUCUACAACUCCAUCAAAUGCUUCUCUAGGUUUAAAUUUUUCAGAAACUGUGCUGAAUAUGAGGAGCACGUUGUUCUAAAUGUGGCCCAAUCCAUCGAAUAUACAUUCGGAGUUGAAUGUUACCGUCAGAGAAGGUUCGUGACCACACCUAAAAAUUAAUACUAUAUUCGACGUGGAUCAACUUCUGGAAGCUCUUGACUGGUUGCCGUAUGGAUGUAUCGCUAUGUUAUGCGCUGAAAUUCAAAGCAACCGCUGGCCAAUCCGUAGUUUUCCUCGAAAUCCGUUUGCAUCGAUUAACCUCUACGGACGCUUGUGUAUUGACAAGUCUUGACGGAUUCAUAAACUGUCCAUCGCAAUCUUCUUCAUUAGUUGUAGAGGACAAGACUAACGAGGCGCUUGGCCGAGGAGGAAGGCCUAAAACGUAGCUAUUCUCAGAUUCUAUCUAGUAAUCUUCCAUGGACAAUACAUAUUUCAAAAUCACGAUGUUAUACAAAUUAGAAUAAACAUCAUCAAGAACAAAGAUGACCAAACUCAAAUUUAGACAAAUUUAAAUAGUAUGGAAAUUUGUUCAGUGAUAAAAGCAGGUUGAAUAAAACGAGACGAGCACAAGUAGGUUCUUGAAGUGUAAUGUUGCUCUAAAGAUAAGACUAAUUAUUCUGAUGAGAUCCAGCCGUUCUAUUGUCGAUUAUGGUCGAAAGUAAUGCAGAUUGUAUGCGCUGCUCUUCGGAUAUGAUAUAUGAGAAAUGAGGCAAAGUCCUAGUAUUUGCCACUAUUGGUUGUUUGGAAUGUCCAUCGCAAAGAUUGAUUAUCGUUCCCAAUGAGAAUAGGCCGUAUUGCAUUUUAAAAAAAUCGUCCACCUGAAGGCCUUUCAAGUAUGGAAACGCCUGCACAGCCGAUGUCGUCUUGAUUUGCCCCUUCCAUUCCUAUAAUUUUCAAUAGACGUAAGUUUUAUGAGUCUCGAAUUUUUCGUGCGUAAGCCGAGCCUUUCUUGCUGUUAGACACUGACGCAACCACACCACUUGCCCUAUACUUCUAGAUAGAUUCGC